rnacentral:lncRNA from 1 species
GGGUUUUGAAGACAAAGUAAUUUCAAAAUUCAGGACACUAGCUGAGUCUAGUCUAAGUGUAGAGUCAAAGGCAAGGAGGUGAGGAACUCAUGGAGACUGCCCAGCUCUGUGCUGGUGAAAAGCAGCUACCUUCAGUUCUUCAUUGCCCUCAGCUCUAAAAUGGCCCAGUGGUUCAGGCUUUCUUUGCCUCUUGAAAUCAUCCUUAAUUUUUAGUAUUAACAGAUACUAGUGGUUCAGGGCAUGAGGUCCAAGUCAGUCACACAUGGACUCCAAGUCAGAAUUCCCAUCUUAGCUGUGGAACCUCAAAGAAUGUUUUGAAAUGAUGGCACCUUCUACCAAGAAGUGCUGGAAUGAUCAAGUGAGAUGUUACAACUAGGCAACAGCACAGAUUGUGGCACUAAAAAAGCCUUCAAUAAAUAAGAACAAGUAUUAUUCUACUCCUUGAGCUUACUUGUAUUCUUAAUGACUUCUGCAGUUCCAAAAUUCCUUGCUCUCAUGGAAAACAAACAUGCAGGCUUCUCUCUGAUCUGUGGAAGUGGACAGUGCAUAGAAAUACUAGCAGCAGC